rnacentral:rRNA from 1 species
GACGAACGCUGGCGGCGUGCUUAACACAUGCAAGUCGAACGGAAAGGCCUGCAGCUUGCUGCGGGUACUCGAGUGGCGAACGGGUGAGUAACACGUGGGUGAUCUGCCUUGCACUUCGGGAUAAGCUUGGGAAACUGGGUCUAAUACCGGAUAGGACAGCUGUUUAGUGUCAGUUGUGGAAAGUUUUUUCGGUGCAAGAUGAGCUCGCGGCCUAUCAGCUUGUUGGUGGGGUAAUGGCCUACCAAGGCGUCGACGGGUAGCCGGCCUGAGAGGGUGUACGGCCACAUUGGGACUGAGAUACGGCCCAGACUCCUACGGGAGGCAGCAGUGGAGAAUAUUGCACAAUGGGCGGAAGCCUGAUGCAGCGACGCCGCGUGGGGGAUGAAGGCCUUCGGGUUGUAAACUCCUUUCGACAGGGACGAAGCUUUUGUGACGGUACCUGUAUAAGAAGCACCGGCUAACUACGUG